ensembl:lncRNA
CGCAGACGUUAAGUCAUUAUGAGGAUGUGACACCUCACAGACCACAAGAAGCACAUGUUGCAUUUGUGUUUCAGAAGAACUCUCAGAGACUGCAUAGUGAGCGUUACAAGGAGACACCAAAAGGCACGAUGUUUCCAAGCAGAUGGUUUAAGAUUUCUUUUUUCAUGAUGAUGAUGCUUCAGUUUGCAGCAUGUCUUUUAUCCUGUCUUCCUUCUCUCACCCCAACCGGUCGCAGCAGAUGGCCGCCCCUCCCUGAGCCUGGUUCUGCUGGAGGUUUCUUCCUGUUAAAAGGGAGUUUUUCCUUCCCACUGUCGCCAAAGUGCUUGCUCAUAGGGGGUCAUAUGAUUGUUGGGUUUUUCUCUGUAUCUAUGAAGCGCC